rnacentral:rRNA from 1 species
GACGAACGCUGGCGGCGUGCUUAACACAUGCAAGUCGAACGAGGCCCCUCCUUCGGGAGGGUGUCCUAGUGGCGAACGGGUGAGUAACACGUGGGCAACCUGCCCCCGGCUCUGGGAUAACCCCAAGAAAUUGGGGCUAAUACCGGAUAUGACCGCUGACCGCAUGGUCGGUGGUGGAAAGAUUUAUCGGCUGGGGAUGGGCCCGCGGCCUAUCAGCUUGUUGGUGGGGUAGUGGCCCACCAAGGCGACGACGGGUAGCCGGCCUGAGAGGGGGACCGGCCACACUGCGACUGAGACACGGCCCAGACUCCUACGGGAGGCCGCAGUGGUGAAUAUUGCGCAAUGGGCGGAAGCCUGACGCAGCGACGCCGCGUGAGGGAUGACGGCCUUCGGGUUGUAAACCUCUUUCAGCAGGGACGAAGCGCAAGUGAUGGUACCUGCAGAAGAAGCACCGGCCAACUACGUGCCAGCAGCCGCCGCGGUAA